UACGAAGGGAGCUAGCGUUGUUCGGAAUCACUGGGCGUAAAGCGCACGUAGGCGGAUGUGUCAGUCAGGGGGUGAAAUCCCGGAGCUCAACUUCGGAACUGCCUUUGAUACAGCACGUCUUGAGUCCGGAAGAGGUGGGUGGAAUUCCUAGUGUAGAGGUGAAAUUCGUAGAUAUUAGGAAGAACACCGGUGGCGAAGGCGGCGACCUGGGUAGAUACUGACGUGAGGUGACGAAAGGCGUGGGGGAGCAAAACAGG
rnacentral:rRNA from 1 species